ACUGCUAUCGGGGUCCGAUUAAGCCAUGCGAGUCAAGGGGCUCCCCUUUUGGGGAGCACCGGCGAACGGCUCAGUAACACGUGGCUAACCUACCCUCGGGUGGGGGAUAACCUCGGGAAACUGAGGCUAAUCCCCCAUAGGGGAGGAGGUCUGGAAUGAUCCCUCCCCGAAAGCCCGUAAGGGCGCCCGAGGAUGGGGCUGCGGCGGAUUAGGUAGUUGGUGGGGUAACGGCCCACCAAGCCUACGAUCCGUACGGGCCCUGAGAGGGGGAGCCCGGAGAUGGACACUGAGACACGGGUCCAGGCCCUACGGGGCGCAGCAGGCGCGAAACCUCCGCAAUGCGCGAAAGCGCGACGGGGGGACCCCGAGUGCCCUCCCUCUGGGAGGGCUUUUCCGGAGUGUAAACAGCUCCGGGAAUAAGGGCUGGGC
rnacentral:rRNA from 1 species